CCCUCCUUUUGCGGGGCACAGGCUCCAGACGCGCAGGCUCAGUAGUUGUGGCUCACGGGCCUAGCUGCUCCGUGGCAUGUGGGAUCUUCCCAGACCAGGGCUCGAACCCGUGUCCCCUGCAUUAGCAGGCAGAUUCUCAACCACUGCGCCACCAGGGAAGCCCCCUCUUCCAUUUCUUGUUCCAUUACUACAUUGACUAUUCACUGCUCAAGACAUGUCAUCUGUGCUUUUUUCCAAGGUUCCCUUGGAAAUAUCUUCCUUCAAGGCUCAGCUUAAAUAUUUUCCCUCCAUGAACCCUGCUCUUUUUUCCUCCAAACUUGAACUACCUCCAACUCCGUUAACCAGGUCCAUGCUCUAUCACCAGCUCUUGACCGAAUAUUUUUUUUAAAGGAAUUCCUUUAUUUUUAUUAUUUUUAUUAUUUAUUUAUUUUUAGCUGUGUUGGGUCUUCGUUUCUGUGCAAAGGCUUUCUCUAGUUGCGGCAAGCGGGGGCCACUCUUCAUCGCGGUGCGUGGGCCUCUCACUAUCGCGGCCUCUCUUGUUGCGGAGCACAGGCUCCAGACGCGCAGGUUCAGUAGUUGUGGCUCACGGGCCUAGUUGCUCCGCGGCAUGUGGGAUCUUCCCAGACCAGGGCUCGAACCCGUGUCCCCUGCAUUGGCAGGCAGAUUCUCAACCACUGCGCCACCAGGGAAGCCCUCUUGACCGAAUAUUUGCAAAAGCUCUCUAGCUAGUAUCCCUGCUUCUUGCCUGUCUUCUACUUGUUUCUCCAUACUACCACUAGAACUGUCUCAUACAAUCUUAACCCCUCAUCAUGGCCUAUAAGAUCUGGCUCCUGCUAAUGUCUAUUGGCCCAGGAACUGUGCUAAGAACUUUACUUGAAUUAAUCCAUUUAAUCCUAUGAGCUACAUACAGUUUAAAAAUUUUACAUCUUUAUUGGAGUAAAAUUGCUUUACAAUGUUGCUUUAGUUUCUGCUGUAUAACAAAGUGAAUCAGCUAUAUGUAUACAUAUAUCCCAAUAUCCCCUCCCUCCCCUCCCUAUCCCACCCCUCUAGGUGGUCACAAAGCACUGAGCUGAUCUCCCUGUGCUAUGCAGCUGCUUCCCACUAGCUAUCUAUUUUACAUUUGGUAGUGUAUAUAUGUCCAUGCCACUCUCUCACUUCGUCCCAGCUUACCCUUCCCCCUCCCUGUGUCCUCAAGUCCAUUCUCUGGGUCUGCAUCUUUACUCCUGUCCUGCCCCUAGGUUCAUCAGAACCAUUUUUUUUUUUUUAAGAUUCCAUAUAUAUGUGUUAGCAUAUGGUAUUUGUUUUUCUCUUUCUGACUUACUUCACUCUGUAUGACAGACUCUAGGUCCAUCCACCUCACUACAAAUAACUCAAUUUCAUUUCCUUUUAUGGCGAGUAAUAUUCCAUUGUAUAUAUGUGCCACAUCUUCUUUAUCCAUUCAUCUGUCGAUGGACACUUAGGUUGCUUCCAUGUCCUGGCUAUUGUAAAUAGUGCUGCAGUGAACAUUGUGAUACAUGUCUCUUUUUGAAUUAUGGUUUUCUCAGGGUAUAUGCCCAGUAGUGGGAUUGCUGGGUCAAAUGAUAGUUCUAUUUUUAGUUUUUUAAGGAACCUCCAUACUGUUCUCCAUAGUGGCUGUAUCAAUUUACAUUCCCACCAACAGUGCAAGAGGGUUCCCUUUUCUCCACACCCUGUCCAACAUUUACUGUUUGUAGAUUUUUUGAUGAUGGCCAUUCUGACCGGUGUGAGGUGAUACCUCAUUGUGGUUUCAAUUGCAUUUCUCUAGUGAUUAGUGAUGUUGAGCAUUCUUUCAUGUGUUUGCUGACCAUCUGUAUGUCUUCUUUGGUGAAAUGUCUAUUUAGGUCUUCCACCCAUUUUUGGAUUGGGUUGUUUGUUUUUUGAUCUUGAGCUGCAUGAGCUGCUUAUAUAUUUUGGAGAUUAAUCCUUUGUCAAUUGCUUCAUUGGCAAAUAUUUUCUCCCAUUCUAAGGGUUGUCUUUUCAUCUUGUUUAUGGUUUCCUUUGCUGUGCAAAAGCUUUUCAUUAGGUCCCAUUUGUUUAUUUUUGUUUUUAUUUCCAUUUCUCUAGGAGGUGGGUCAAAAAGGAUCUUGCUGUGAUUUAUGUCAUAGAGUGCUCUGCCUAUGUUUUCCUCUAAGAGUUCUAUAGUGUCUGGCCUUAAAUUUAGGUCUUUAAUCCAUUUUGAGUUUAUUUUUGUGUAUGGUGUUAGGAAGUGUUCUAAUUUAAUUCUUUAACAUGCAGCUGUCCAGUUUUCCCAACACCACUUAUUGAAGAGGCUGUCUUUUGUCCAUUGUAUAUUCUUGUCUCCUUUGUCAAAGAUAAGGUGACCAUAGGUGCGUGGGUUUAUCUCUGGGCUUUCUAUCCUGUACCAUUGAUCUAUAUUUGUGUUUUUGUGCCAGUACCAUACUGUCUUGAUUACUGUAGUUUUGUAGUAUAGUCUGAAGUCAGGACGCCUGAUUCCUCCAGCUCCGUUUUUCUUUCUCAAGAUUGCUUUAGCUAAUCGGGGUCAUUUGUGUUUCCAUACUAGCUCCCUUCAGGCUGUCUUCACAUAGCCAACCUCAGUCCUCUCCCUGGGGUCUGACCUCUGAAGCCCGAGCCUCAGCUCCCAGCCCCCACCCACCCCAGCAGGUGAGCAGACAAGUGUCUCAGGCUGGUGAGUGCUGGUUGGCACCAAUCCUCUGUGUGGGAAUCUCUCCACUCUGCCCUCUGCACCCCUGUUGCUGAGCUCUCCUCUGUGGCUCUGAAGCUCCCCACCCCCCCCAUCCCCACCAGUGAGGGGGCUUCCUAGUGUGUGGUAACUUUUCCUCCUUCACAGUUCCCUCCCAGAGGUGCAGGACCCAUCCCUAUUCCUUUGUCUCUUUUUCUUUUUCUUUUUUCUUUUGCUCUACCUGGGUACCUGGGGAUUUUCUUCCCUUUUGAGAAGUCUGAGGUCUUCUGCCAGCGUUCAGUAGGUGUUGUAGGAGUUGUUCCACAUGUAGGUGUAUUUUUGAUGUAUUUGUGGGGAGGAAGGUGAUCUCUACGUCUUACUCUUCUGCCAUCUUGAAGGCCUCCCGAGCUACAUACUUUUAAUAUCCUCACUUGCAGUAGAUACUGUUGACCACCCACCCAGAUCCCUUUUACAGGACUGGUGCACCCACAGCCCAGCUGCUGCAGGUGUUGGCUAAUAGAUCACACCUCCAUCUUACCUGGAGGAUUGCCCUUGACUGAGGAGAGGCACCCAGCCAGCCCUCCAACUCCUCCUUCCCACACCACAGGUAGUCAAGGACUGCCUGAUAUGGGAACAUAAUAGCCUAGCCCCUCAACUCUGGGCAGGACAACCUCUGUGGUCCAUCCAUACUGCAGAGUGCCCUGCUGGGUCAGGCUGAGGCUGAACUUCUGAAAACUCUUUUUCCCCUGCCAAAUGCUGUUUUCUUUACUCCCUUAUAGAUUUCUUCUAAGGGCACUCCCUCAAUAAAUACUUGCCCAAGAAUUCCCAUCUCAGGCAUGGCUCCAGAGGAACUGAUUUUACAGAUGACGAAACUUGAGACAGAGAAGGGUAAAGUGAUUUGCCUAAGGUCAAACAGAAAAUGGGAAAGCUGAAGUUUGAAGCCAGACAGUCUGGCUCCCAGGCUGCGCUCUUCCCCACCAGUGUAAUGACUACUUCUCCAACCUCCUUUCUGGCCAAAUUAAUUCCCGCCUCAGGGCCUUUGUACUCCUUAUUCUGCCUAGAAAGUGUUUGUGAAAUUAAAUUCAUAUUUUAUAGUUAGACAAGAAAAACUUACAUAUAAAAAUUUUGUCUUUGGCCUCCUGUCUCCCUGCUACUGUGCAUCGUGUAUCUGCAUCAUGCAUCAGCCAAAAGUCCCGCAUCGGCAGAAAUACCUGCUCAACCAUAAAGACAUCAUUCUCCUAGCAUCAACAAGACAACUCCUUCAAAGAUAGUAUUCCUUCUUGAUCUUGUAAGGGGCCAUGAUGAUGCUUAGAUCUGGAUUGUGUAAACUGUCAAUAAUGCAUCACUUAAUGUACAGCCCUCUGUCGCAAAAAACUUAACGUAACUGUGCCUUGACUUAACAAAUGGGUGGAACAGUACUCAGAGCUUUCUGAGAUGCUCUUCCUGGGUUAUAAUCCUCAAACUUGGCUUGAAUAAAAUUUUCCAUUUCUUCCUUAAAAGAUUGACUGAUUUAAUUUUUGUCGACAUAUACUUGGCAUAGUCGGCAGGAUAUCAGACACCUGACAGAGGACACAUGGAGUCUACCCAGAACCAGCACUGGGUACCAGCAUGGGCCCAUUGGGCCCCACUGGUUUCUCGGUACUCCUCAGGUGUUUUGAUGAGUUCUUCUGAUAUUCGUAUCUCAUUUUUUAGGUGAUGAUGGAUCCUCAAAAUUUUAUUUGGGCUGGUUUUCACUUAAGACUUGGAAUCUUAAGGGGCACCGGUGCAUUUCCUAGGCAGGGCUUACAGGGUCUGGGCAAGAGGUCCAGGGAAGCAUAGGUGGCUGGGUUUUUGUUAAAUUUGGCUUAAAUUUUAAAGAAUGAGUUGAUACAUGGUCCGAACAAAACUUCUACUACUGAAAUGAGAGACUGAAUUAUUCACCUUGGAAGAAUAAAGGGACAUAUUGCUCCUUCUGGCCACAAGGCAGUCAUAUAGGGGAACCCCACUAUGACCAUAAAGUACAUAAAGUAAGUACUGCUCAACCACAGGGCAUAACAGAGGCUGAUAACCUAGCCCCCCAACCACCCAUGACGGUUUUAGGCCAUCAUAGGGAGAAACGAAGCCACAUAAAAGAAGUCGAACCCAUCCAAGGAUAACUCCUUGGGGAGCUAGACUCAGAAGCAGCACACAUGUGAUCCACCACACUGUCCUCAGAAAGUUGUUCAGAUCAUAUGUCAUAUCUGAAUUAGGCUACGAAAUUAAUACUGGGAAAUUGUGCCCGUGCAAACAGCCACCUGUGGGAAUACCAGCUGGGUUUACAUAUGCUUGCAAGUACUCAGUUGGGAACUAAAGGAAAUCGGGCCCUGAAAUGGCCAAAUUGGGGUCCUUUUGACACUCCAAAAUGAUUUUGAGUGUGAAGUUAAAGCCGGCAGUCUUUUGGAUCUGUGCCUGCAAGGUUUACUGGAAACAACAGUGGUAAUAUUUUUCUAAAAUUAGAUUAGCAGGGGAAAAUAUUUGUAGGGCUAGCUCCAUGGAUCCUUUGGAGAAACAUCCAAGUUGUUAAAAUUUUAGAGAGCUCUUAUCUAUCUUAAGCUAUUUGUACCUAUUUUAACUGGUAUGUAGAUGCCCCAAAAGAUUUCAAAAUUCCAAAAUAGCCUCAUUGAAAGAUUUGUUGAAGGCUAAUGAAAGUAAUGAUAUAAAAGGUACCUAAAACUUUAACUACUGUUUCCCUCUAUCCUUCUUUGAGUACUCAUUCUAGUAAUCUUCUGAAUUGCCUUUCUACUCUGAAGACACUACUAAAUGGUUACCUUUAGAAAUGGGACCACAUGAGGCUGUAGGCAAGCCUCUUCAUGUCAAAGGCCAAACUGAGGGUCAUAGUUAAACCCAGGGAGGAUCCUCAAAAGUGUUUGUAAGUGGAUUCCCAAAAUGGGAGGCCACCAAUCUGACUAAACUGACCAUAACUGAUAUUUGGAGCCUGAUAGGACUUGUUUUCGGGGGAGGGGCACUUCUCCCCUAAGCUAAAUGAGGGAAAGUAAAAUAUUCUAACAUAGAUGAAUGGGUGUGUCAGUCCUUUGAUAUCAUUGAGGUGGCCACCCAAUUCUUUGAGGAAAAAAAACUGUCCUUAUUUUACAAGUCUAGUCUUUACAGGACCAGAGGUGUGGAUCCAGAAAUAAUCCAAAGCCUACCAAUCCUUUUACCACUCCCCAAACCUCCCCUACUUAUCAUAAGAGGCUUGUAAGUAUUGAGGGAAAAAAAUUGUUUUCUGGCCUUAUGGGAACAAAGUCAUCCUAGGAGGAACUUGCCUUUCUCCUCCUAUGCCUUUGAGAUGCAAAUGUUUUACCUGUCUUUUCCAGGAACGCUUAUCUGUGCUGUUUUUAAAAUGCAAAUUCCAGGAAAGGGGGUAGGUAAUUUGGAACUUGUCAAGGACAAAUAGAAAUCUUAAGUGUCUUUUCCAUAAAUAUUAGUAAAAAGUGUUUAGCCAUAGACAGGUGACUUUGAUUUGUUCCAUCUGCCAGAAACCCAAUGUGAAUCCAACCUCUUUUGUAACUCAUCGAUUUUAUAUUGUUGUACCUGAUUCAUGACUGAAAUUUUGGAAUGGGAACUGAGGUCUCUGUGUGUGUUUGUAUGUAGCUAUAUGUGUGUUGUAGAUGUGUGUUGCAGAUGUGUGGUAUUGCCAAAAUUAAUUUGUAAAAGAGCUCUACUUAAUUGGCUUAAAGGAAAUUAAGUGUUUACAAAAAUACUUGGAAAUAUAAAAGAAACUGGCCAGAAUGAACUUCAUGUGAUCUGGAAAAUAUUCAGUAUUGAAUUAAUAUCUGGUAUUAAAGUUAGCCUAAGCUUGUUGGUUUGAUUAAUAUGGACACGUCUUUGGAAAAGAUGUUGCAGGAAAGAGUGGGGCACGAAAGGAUGGUCAUGUCCCAGGUCUCGGGCGAGUGCCUGGAACGGCCACCAAGUGUCGGUUCUUGGCUUCGCGCAGGAAAGAAUUCAAGAGCGAGCCAUGGUAAAGUGAAAGGUUUAUUCAGGGAGGUACACACUCCAUAGACACAGUGUGGGCCAUCUCAGAAGGCAAGAGGCAAUGGGAGACACACACUCCACAGACAGUGUGGGCAUUCUUGGAAGGUGAGAGGCCCCAGGGUAUAGGGCUGUCAGUUUUUAUAGGGGUGGGUAAUUUCAUAGGCUAAUGAAUGGGAGGAGUAUUCCAGCUAUUUUGGGGAAGGGGUGGGGACUUCCACGAAUUGGGCCACUGCCCACUUUUUUGACCUUUUAUGGUUGGCCUUGGAACUGUCAUGGCACCUGCGGAUGUGUCAUUUAGCGUGCUGAUGUGUUACAAUGAGUGUAUACUGAGGCUCAAGUCGACUUGUCUGCCAUCUUGGACCUAGUUGGUUCUAACCAGUUUAUGAUGCGUCCUUGGGCUACGUCAUUCUUUUAAAGGUUGUGCCCUGCCCCUUUCCGGUCUGAGUCAUCAAUAUUAAAUAUAAUACUUUUACUGUACCUAGGUUUACUAGAAAUCAAGUAAGACCUUAUUACUGUUAAAAGUUUGUCAGCAAGAAAAAUAAUGGUAUGAAAACUUUUAAGUAAAUAAAAUAGAGGUAAAUGAGAUAAGAGCUUUAGGUAAACUCUUUAGGAAUAACUGUUUUGGGAAUGUCUACUUUAAGGAUAAUAUCUCCAGAUUUUGGUAACCUGAAACAAAACUAAGUUAAACUACGAGAAUUUCUUCACUAUCUGGGUCAUUACAAGUAGGAUAAAAUACUAGAACAUUAAUUGAUUGCUGGGCAGGCCUAAGUUUACCUACUUUUGUCUUAUGAGAAACUGAAGAUGUUUAUUAGAUACAUGUCUUGUAUCACAUUGAGGAAAGAAAUUCUAUAAGACGGUGUAUGUUUCUAGAGGUUAUAAAAUACGUUCAUAAUUGUCAAUCAGGAAAUGCUGGUAUGACAGUUUAUAAUUACUUGCUUCUUGGUUUUUGCUAGAGAUUAAGAUUCUAAGGUUAAGAAUUAUAUGGGAAACAUUUCAGUAUGCAAGGAAAGUAGGAUGUGUGUUUUCAGCAAAAAAAGAGGAAUGAAAAUGCAUUUUGUUAAAAAAGGUCAUUUUGUCCUAGAGCUGGUUGUUUCUAAAUGGAUACAUAAAGUUGUCAAAUGUUUGUGGAAAGGGAACACUGAGAUUUUGUACAUGAUCAGGAUUGGCUUAGAUAAGAUUGACCUUAAUUAAGAAAGUGAAUUUUAAAAGUAAAGUGGUACAAAACCUGAAUUUGGUUCUCUAAAAGGACAAAGUUUUCUUAAAAUAUUGAACUGUUUUUGAUAAUAGAUUGUGAGUUUCUUUGUGUUUAAGUGAUCUGUAUUUGCCAGUGAGAUCUUUUAUUGUCACUUUAGUUAAGUGAAUGGGUAUUGUUUCACAGUGACCUGUGAUUCUAUUUGACCAAGUGUUGUAAAACUUCUUGAUAUUUUUGACAAACAUCCCAAAGAUAAAAUCCUAAAUGAAGCUCAUUUGACCUCUAGCUAAUUUUGAAGUUUUACAAAGGGUCCCUAGAAUACCUCAAAAUAUUUGUUUUCCCUCCAUCUCAGAGAGAGGACUAUUAAACUAAUUAGGCUUAUUUGGUAUGUUAAAGUACAUGGGAAGCAUUGUCAAAUAAGUGGUGAUAAAACUUCUUAGAUUGUAUCCUAUGGGUAAAUGUUACCAACAUACAUAUUCUAGAAAUUAUAUGGAACUCUUAAAAUUCUGGUAGGUCCUGGUAAAUUAUAUCCGUCAUGAUUUUAGUAAUUAUCUUAAAUUGUUGUGUGUCACAGCCGUAACCAAGUUUUCCAAUUGCAUUAUAAUCAGGUCUUUAACCUUGAUUUUUUUAAGUCUUUUGACAUUUAUAGGCAGUUAUCAUUGUACUCUUUUUGCAAAAUGCUUCAUCUUCAAGAAGAUCCACAGAAAGUACUUUUUGACAAGAACAGAUUUCUGAUAAUUUUCACAUCAUACUGCUGAACUGGGUAAGAAAUUAGAAUUCUAAUAAACUGGAUGGCUUCAUGUAACUGUUACCAAAAGAUUAAGAUCAAGGACUAGUCACAUAGGAGUGGGUGAACAGACUAUGGUUAUAAUUUUUGGUUUUUGUCUGAAAUAUUACUGGGUUUUAAUCUGUUUUCCAGAUAUAAGGAAACCUUUAAAAUAUACCUCUGUAAGUAGAACUGAAACCUUAUCUUUUCUCUCUACCAGAUGCCUCCAGAAUUUGGAAACUCUUAGGUUCCCAGCAGCUUUAUCAGGCAUAUAAGGAAGGCCACCUCCUAAAAGUUUAUCACAGUAAUCUAACUUUGGAAGAAGAUCAAGAUGCAUCAUGACCUGCAACCAGGUUACGAAUACUGGAAAAGACAUCAGAUAAAGGACUCUUUUUGGCCACUUCGGAAGGGACCUUAUCAGACCUCUACAACUGAAUGAACUGCAACUCCAAUUUCUGACACCUGACUUAGACUAAGACCAGCACUACCAGAUCAGGAUGAGAAUAUUACAUGAGAAGUAGACAGCUGACCCAAGAUGCCAGAGCAGGUUGGUUAAGAAGAUAAAAAACUGGUUUCCCUUGGGCUCAAGGUCACCUAUGGCUACCGUGGAAACAGCCCCUGUCAAUCUGUAAUGUGAGUACUCUGGUUACUAUCAGUUUUCCAAAUGGCAUUACCAUUUAGCCAUGAUAUUUGUUUACUCAUCUUAUGACCCAUGAAGUGUCAGAUUUCUGCUCUGAACAAACCCUCUUCCCAGUUUAGGGGAAAUACUAGGAAAAUUGUUUUGUUCAGGAGGAUUUUGGCUUAAAUCUUUGCUAAUGAUGUUGCUACUACUACCAAUUUAGUUUGUGGAACUUAUAAGUUGAUACUUCCCUGCCUUUCACGCUGUGUCACCUACUCAUACUAAGAUAAUGUCUAAAUGACUUGAAAUUAUAGAUCACAUCUGUAGUUCUAUGUAAAAUAAAGGACAUACCCCACACAUGAGGAAAAUUGGCUUAAGUCUUACUGGACAACUUAGAAUUGAAUGUUAGUCCUUGCCAAACAUCCUGCUAGUACAACUCCCCCAAAAGGAGAGAAUCAGGCCAUUAAGACCUGGCAUCAAGGGCCAGGCAAGCAGCCACUCUGGUUUUGAGGGACCAAAUAUUUGAUCACCUAACAACACUUUCUACUGAAAGAUUAUUUCACACUUCCCCCCACCCCGCCAUUGAUCAUUAAAGUUCAUAUUUUACGGCAAGACAAGAAAAACUUAAACUUUUCUCUGCCCUUUGGUGACCUCUAUCCCCACUACUAUGCAUUGUGUAUCUGCAUUAUGCAUCGGCCAAACCUUCCCCAUUGGCAGAAAUACCUGCUCAACCAUAAACAGCAACACUCUCCUAGCAUCAAAAAGACAACUCCUUAAAAGAUAGUAUUCCUUCUUGAUCUUGUAAGGGGCCACGAUGAUGCUUAGACUUGGAUUGUGUAAACUGUCAAUAACACGUCAUCUAAAUGUAUAGCCUUCUGUCUCAACAAACUUCUAUAACUGUGCCUUUACUUCACUUCUCAGAGCUUUCUGAGAUGCUCUUCCUGGGUUGUACUAUUCAAAUUUGGCUUGAAUAACAGUUUCCAUUUCUUAGGUUGACUGAUUUUGUCGACAUCUCAUCGUGGCUUGCUUCCUCACUCAUGUCAAAAUGUUUCAAAUAUUACCUCCUCAGAGACCUUUCCUGACCCCAACUGUCCUACCUAGCAUAGCGACACUAUUCCCAACAACUCAGUUUUACUUCUAGCAUUUAAUAUUUGAAAUUAUAUUAUGCAUAUUUAUGUUUUGUCACUCACACUAAAAUGAAAAUUCCCUGAGGGCAGGAAUGUCUCGUAGCUCAUUCACCGCUAUAUCCUCGAUGCUUGGUAACAUGCAUGGCACAGCGCAGGAAGGAGUGCUGUAACUGUUGAUCGAGUGGAAUGAAUUCUCUUCUCAGAACUCUUGCAGGGCUUGUAGAGAUCUUCUUGCAUGUUCUUAAUCCAGAACUGUAGUUAUUUAAUGCUUAUUCAUCCCACAAGCCUGUAUGCUCUCAGAGGACAGGAAUUAUGGCUUAUUAAUUUAGGGGUACACAGGAGGCAUUCAAAUCAUGGCACUACCUCUAAAACUCCAAAUAUCAACUGUAACUUGUCUUUCCAUACAGGAACUACUAUCAGGAUUUCAUAUGAAUAAUAGUAUUAUUCAGAAGGAGGAAAAUACAUCACAUUUAAUUUAUAAUGCAUUCCUCUGCAUGUAACGAGAUACAGUAAAUACAAUUAAGUACUUAUCUUUAUUUUUAAAAUAAAGCCAUUUUCAAAAUAUAAAAAAUAGACCUUUUUUCAAAGAACCAUUUAAAUAUGGCUUUGAGAGCCACAGUAUUUUAUUUAUAACAAAUAGAUGGUACUGCAAAAAGCAUUCAUAGAUGUUUACGUAAAUAAAAAUGUUAGUAUCAUUCUGGCACCCUUUUGGGGCAGGCCUUUAUAUUUAUAGAAAAAUUACUGUAACUCAAAAGUAAAAUCAAUAAUGGCCUUUAGUGUAAUUUGUAUUUAAACCUGAAUUUGAGCAACCAAUGUAGAUUGGUCACUUAUUUGGGAUCUGGACCCAUAUAUCUGAAAUCUGAAGUAGAAAGUUAAAGCUUCUCAUUUCCAUACAGUUUGUCAACAAAUGUGCCCCAGUCAUUCUAGUAUCUAUAUAAGGUGAUCUAUUAGCAACACCAGUAAGUGACUUAUAGACAAAUAUGCUAAGUAAGGGCUGACACAGCUGGAUCCUAGUUCAGAUUUUAUAAACAGACACUAAGUAUCUAUGCCGAAAACUAAUGUGAUCCAGGAUUACAUUUUAAAUUAUGAAAGAGCUUCUGGGAAAAAAAUGUGAUGGAAUGACAACAGAUGUCAGGUACUUCUCAAAUUAAGAGAAGUACAUAACUGCAUUCCAAAUGAAGUAAAACAAAAGCACAUUUACAGUGGAUUUUUUUCCCCACCAAACUUUCCCAUUUCAAAAAUGGUCAGGAUUUGGGCAACAUCUUUCCCAGCAAACUCUUGAAACAGCAAUGACAUCUUU